rnacentral:rRNA from 1 species
UGGGGAAUAUUGCACAAUGGGCGAAAGCCUGAUGCAGCAACGCCGCGUGAGUGAUGAAGGCCUUCGGGUUGUAAAGCUCUGUCUUUUGGGACGAUAAUGACGGUACCAAAGGAGGAAGCCACGGCUAACUACGUGCCAGCAGCCGCGGUAAUACGUAGGUGGCAAGCGUUGUCCGGAUUUACUGGGCGUAAAGGAUGCGUAGGCGGGAUAGUCAGUCUGUUGUAAAAGUGCGGGCUCAACCCGUGAUCGCAAUGGAAACAGCUAUUCUUGAGUGCAGGAGAGGAAAGUGGAAUUCCCAGUGUAGCGGUGAAAUGCGUAGAUAUUGGGAGGAACACCAGUGGCGAAGGCGACUUUCUGGACUGUGUCUGACGCUGAGGCGCGAAAGCCAGGGGAGCGAACGGGAUUAGAUACCCCGGUAGUCCUGGCCGUAAACGAUGAGUACUAGGUGUAGGAGGUAUCGACCCCUUCUGUGCCGCAGUUAACACAAUAAGUACUCCGCCUGGGAAGUACGAUCGCAAGAUUAAAACUCAAAGGAAUUGACGGGGUCAUAGCUGUUUCC